AACUAACCCAACAAAUAAAGCUCAGCUUGAAGAUCGAAUGACUAAAAUCAAAGAUGAUCCAUCGUUGAAGCCUAUUUUGGACGAGAUCGAGAAUGGCGGUCCUGCUGCUAUGAUGAGGUCUUGUUUUCUCCAUGAGAUUUUUUUUGUUUAACUUUAUAUAAUUUCUGACUCUCAUAGUCUGUAUGAUAAUGUGGUGUGUGUGAUUGUAGCUGACAACCCUGAAUUUGAAUGGUGUUAUAUGGCGACCAACUGAUCAUACAAAAGGAUGUAAACUUUCAUUUCAGUAUGCAAAUGAAAACAAUUUAGAUGCAUUCUUCUCUAUGACUUUAGAUGGUGGUGAGAAAUCUUGAACUGACAAAAGUUUAUAACUUCAACUUGCUGUCACAAUUGAAUAUUACUUUGAAUUAGAAGAAACCAUCCAUAGUUCUAUCAUUUGAUGAAAUUUGCAAAACUUUCUGGCCGGUGCCAUAGAUGACUGAAAAUUUCUUAAUGAAUUCCUUCAAGGAGUGUCAUUGUCUCACGUUAUAACUUUGACUCAGUGAUAAUUUUUUGCUUUUAAUUUGAAGAAAUUAUCCUUAGUUCUAUCAUUUGCAUAGUUAUCAAUAGUGCAGAUCGCGCUCGCGAUCGCGCGUCGCGUUGCGCACACAUAUCGCACCGCAUCGCGAUGCAGAGGCCAGUGUGUAAUAGCACGCGCUAUUCGCGCUAUUUCCAGAAUGCGCAUCGCGCCAAAUAGCGCGCUAUUGAGAAGUCUUCUGCAUGGGGCUUUUAAUAUUUAAUUAGGUUUUCAAGUGUAGAUAACUUUUAAGUUAAUCCUGAAUCUGAUCGUCCAGUACUCCAACUGGAUUCAGACUCUUCAAUAUUCAAUAUUUAAUUAGGGUUUUAAGUUAUAUAUUACUUAUAACUAAGUCUGAUCGUCCAGUAGUCUCCAACUCAAUUCAGACUCUUCAAUUCUUAUUUUCUUUUAAAGUUAAUCGUUUCAGUUUCUAUCUUCCUCUAAUCCCAAGCGACAGACAGAAUCUUUGGUUCUUGAAGAACCAUUCUGCACUUCUUCUUCCUCUCCUCUUCUCAUAUUCAGUUUCUAUUCUAUGGCAAGUUCAGUUUUUAUUAACUAGACAUAUUAUGCAUGUUUUUCUUAUGAUUAUGAUAUAUAUGCGCGAUAUAUUCAAAUAGCGCGCGCGUCGUGAUGCACGAUAGUGCUAGGACAGCUUUGCGCGAUCGUGCGCGAUUAAUAACUAUGAUCAUUUGAUGUAAUUUGCAAAAGUUUAUUUCUGUUGCCAUAGAUUGCAGAAAUCUUCUUAGUGAAUUUCUUCUAGCCAUAGUCUCAAGCACUCAGAAAGUGGAAACCCUACAGCUCUAAAUAACCUUAGGAGUUCAUGAAGCAGUGGAAAAGAUCCAUAAAUCGGGAUACUUAGCUUACAUACAAUAGAAAAUCUUUCAAUAGAAUCCUUUCUGGUUUAAUCCUAUGAGUCGUGCUGAAUAAUUGUACUUGAUCCUUGACUAGUAAUACUUGUUAAUAUGUAUGUAUUUAUAAGCCAUUCCUCAAAAGUUUUAGACUUUUAGUAUCAAAUCAGUCAUUUCUCUGUCAUUUCCUCACUGAGAAAAUAGUUUAUGGUCAGAUACUGGAAUGACAAAGAUGUUCUCCAGAAGUUGGGUGAAGCCAUGGGAUUUGCUGUUGGCAGUGAAGGUGGUGCAUCUGGUGUUGAUGCUUCUGUUGAAGAUGAGGAUGAAGGAAAUGAUGAGGAAUCUAUUGUUCACCAAACAGCUAGUACUGGCGAUGUGGAG
rnacentral:lncRNA from 1 species